AUUGAACGCUGUCUGCAGGCCUAACACAUGCAAGUCGAACGAGUGGCGGACGGGUGAGUAAUGUCUGGGAAACUUCCUGAUGGAGGGGGAUAACUACUGGAAACGGUAGCUAAUACCGCAUACCAUCAGAUGUGCCCAGAUGGGAUUAGCUAGUUGGUGGGGUAACGGCUCACAAAGGCGACGAUCCCUAGCUGGUCUGAGAGGAUUACAAGCCACCCUGGAACUGAGACACGUUCGAGACUCCUAGGGUAGGCAGCAGUGGGAAAUAUUGCACAAUGGGCGCAGUCCGGAUGAAGCCGUGCCGAGUGUAUGAAGAAGGCCUUCGGGUUGUAAAGUACUUUCAGCGGGGAUGCGUUACCCGCAGAAGAAGCACCUGCUAACUCCGUGCCAGCAGCCGCGGUAAUAC
rnacentral:rRNA from 1 species